rnacentral:rRNA from 1 species
CCUCUAGAGUUUGAUCCUGGCUCAGGAUGAACGCUGGCGGCGUGCCUAAUACAUGCAAGUCGAGCGAACAGACGAGAGUGCUUGCACUCUCUGACGUUAGCGGCGGACGGGUGAGUAACACGUGGGUAACCUACCUAUAAGACUGGGAUAACUUCGGGAAACCGGAGCUAAUACCGGAUAAUAUUUAGCUUCGCAUGAAGCAAUAGUGAAAGACGGUUCUGCUGUCACUUAUAGAUGGACCCGCGGUGUAUUAGCUAGUUGGUGAGGUAACGGCUCACCAAGGCAACGAUACAUAGCCGACCUGAGAGGGUGAUCGGCCACACUGGGACUGAGACACGGCCCAGACUCCUACGGGAGGCAGCAGUAGGGAAUCUUCCGCAAUGGACGAAAGUCUGACGGAGCAACGCCGCGUGAGUGAAGAAGGUUUUCGGAUCGUAAAACUCUGUUGUAAGGGAAGAACAAGUACGUUAGUAACUGAACGUACCUGACC